ensembl:snRNA U6 U6 spliceosomal RNA
GUUCUCACUCCAGCAACACAUAUACUAAAAUUGGAAUGGCAUGGCCCCUGAACAAGGCUGACAUGUAAAUUAAUGGAGCGUUCAAUAUCUUU